UACGUAGGGUGCGAGCGUUAAUCGGAAUUACUGGGCGUAAAGCGUGCGCAGGCGGUUUGUUAAGACAGAUGUGAAAUCCCCGGGCUUAACCUGGGAACUGCAUUUGUGACUGGCAAGCUAGAGUAUGGCAGAGGGGGGUAGAAUUCCAGGUGUAGCGGUGAAAUGCGUAGAUAUCUGGAGGAAUACCGGUGGCGAAGGCGGCAUCCUGGACCGACAUUGACGCUGAACGGCGAAAGCUAGGGGAGCAAACGGG
rnacentral:rRNA from 1 species